AGAGUUUGAUCCUGGCUCAGAACGAACGCUGGCGGCGUGCCUAACACAUGCAAGUCGAGCGAGAAAGUCCGCAAGGAUGAGUAAAGCGGCGCACGGGUGCGUAACACGUGGGUAAUCUUCCUUGGAGCCCGGAAUAACUCCCCGAAAGGGGUGCUAAUGCCGGAUAAGCCCACGGGAACCUUGGUUCCUGAGGGAAAAGGUGGCCUCUGCACGCAAGCUACCACUCCUAGAUGAGCCCGCGGCCCAUCAGCUAGUUGGCGGGGUAAUGGCCCACCAAGGCUACGACGGGUAGCUGGUCUGAGAGGACGAUCAGCCACACUGGAACUGAGACACGGUCCAGACUCCUACGGGAGGCAGCAGUGGGGAAUCUUGCGCAAUGGGCGAAAGCCUGACGCAGCAACGCCGCGUGUGUGAUGAAGGUCUUCGGAUCGUAAAGCACUGUCGGGAGGGACGAAUAAGGGCGGAGCUAACAUCUCCGUUCGAUGACGGUACCUCCAAAGGAAGCACCGGCUAACUCUGUGCCAGCAGCCGCGGUAAUACAGAGGGUGCUAGCGUUGUUCGGAAUUACUGGGCGUAAAGCGUGCGCAGGCGGUUCGUUAAGUUCGUUGUGAAAGCCCCGGGCUCAACCUGGGAACGGCAAUGGAAACUGGCGGGCUCGAGUGCGGCAGAGGGGGGUGGAAUUCCACGUGUAGCAGUGAAAUGCGUAGAGAUGUGGAGGAACACCGAU
rnacentral:rRNA from 1 species